rnacentral:rRNA from 1 species
GAUGAACGCUGGCGGCGUGCCUAAUACAUGCCAGUCGAGCGAACAGAUGAGGAGCUUGCUCCUCUGACGUUAGCGGCGGACGGGUGAGUAACACGUGGAUAACCUACCUAUAAGACUGGGAUAACUUCGGGAAACCGGAGCUAAUACCGGAUAAUAUAUUGAACCGCAUGGUUCAAUAGUGAAAGACGGUUUUGCUGUCACUUAUAGAUGGAUCCGCGCCGCAUUAGCUAGUUGGUAAGGUAACGGCUUACCAAGGCAACGAUGCGUAGCCGACCUGAGAGGGUGAUCGGCCACACUGGAACUGAGACACGGUCCAGACUCCUACGGGAGGCAGCAGUAGGGAAUCUUCCGCAAUGGGCGAAAGCCUGACGGAGCAACGCCGCGUGAGUGAUGAAGGUCUUCGGAUCGUAAAACUCUGUUAUUAGGGAAGAACAAAUGUGUAAGUAACUAUGCACGUAUUGACGGUACCUAAUCAGAAAGCCACGGCUAACUACGUG